GACGAACGCUGGCGGCGUGCCUAAUACAUGCAAGUUGAGCGCUGAAGGUUGGUACUUGUACCAACUGGAUGAGCAGCGAACGGGUGAGUAACGCGUGGGGAAUCUGCCUUUGAGCGGGGGACAACAUUUGGAAACGAAUGCUAAUACCGCAUAAAAACUUUAAACACAAGUUUUAAGUUUGAAAGAUGCAAUUGCAUCACUCAAAGAUGAUCCCGCGUUGUAUUAGCUAGUUGGUGAGGUAAAGGCUCACAAGGCGAUGAUACAUAGCCGACCUGAGAGGGUGAUCGGCCACAUUGGGACUGAGACACGGCCCAAACUCCUACGGGAGGCAGCAGUAGGGAAUCUUCGGCAAUGGACGAAAGUCUGACCGAGCAACGCCGCGUGAGUGAAGAAGGUUUUCGGAUCGUAAAACUCUGUUGGUAGAGAAGAACGUUGGUGAGAGUGGAAAGCUCAUCAAGUGACGGUAACUACCCAGAAAGGGACGGCUAACUACGUG
rnacentral:rRNA from 1 species